AGCAGCCGCGGUAAUUCCAGCUCCAAUAGCGUAUAUUAAAGUUGUUGCAGUUAAAAAGCUCGUAGUUGAAUUUUGGGUCUGGCCGGGCGGUCCGCCCUCCGGGUGAGCACUGUUCCGACGCCGGGCCUAUCCUUCUGGUGAGUCGGCAUGUCCUUUGUUGGGUGUGUCGGGGAACCAGGACCAUUACCUUGAAAAAUUAGAGUGUUCAAAGCAGGCGUAUGCUCGGAUACAUUAGCAUGGAAUAAUGAAAUAGGACGCGUGGUGCUAUUUUGUUGGUUUCUAGAACCGCCGUAAUGAUUAAUAGGGAUAGUUGGGGGCAUUAGUAUUCAAUUGUCAGAGGUGAAAUUCUUGGAUUUAUUGAAAACUAACUUCUGCGAAAGCAUUUGCCAAGGAUGUUUUCAUUAAUCAAGAACGAAAGUUAGGGGAUCGAAGACGAUCAGAUACCGUCGUAGUCUUAACCAUAAACUAUGCCGACUAGGAAUCGGGCAUGUUAUUCUCAUGACUCGCCCGGCGCCUUAUA
rnacentral:rRNA from 1 species